GUUUGUUUAGUGUACCAUCAAUUUGCACAAAGUAUGCCUCCAAAAGCAUCUCGAGUUCCUCCACAUCGAGGUGUUUGCUUAUAGCGCUAUGGGUAGUGCUUGUCCGGGUCCCAUGGCUGUCCCUGCCCACAUUUGAUGCACCAAACAAAUGAUCCUGGGAAGCAUCCAUAUUGCCUUCAUAAUUAGCAGAAAUUCCACCACCGUCCAAUGAUAUUUCAGCAGGAAUACUGUCAUCUUUGCCCAACUGCUGAUCGUCAUCUUCCAUUUCAUCUCUCUCAGGAAUUGAGGAAGUGGAAGAGUUCUCAAGUUGUUGCUGAACCAUCUUUUCUGUUAAGUACAUCUCAGCCAUAUCCUCAUCAUCAUCUAGCAAGUGUUCUAAUUCGUCCCGCACCUUUUGAACUCGUCCAGUUAUUGCAACCAAUCGACUUUUGAUCUGACGCACCCGUUCCAAAUUGAGAGUACUAAUCUUAGAAGUCAGCUUAUCCAAAG
rnacentral:misc_RNA from 1 species